AUGGCAAAGCAUCCCAAUAGGACUCCACACACAUUUCGGUCGCUUCAAGGGCGUUGGGAGAAUAUCAAAUCAAUGUGCGGCCGUUGGGCAGCUUGCUUGGAGCAAGUACGCAAUGCACCUCCAAGUGGCACCAUGGACAUUUUGUAGGACAAGAUUGCUCAACAUAGAUACAAGGACAUGGAAGCUUCGGAAGGCAAAUUCUUCAAACUAGAGCAUUGUUGGGAGUUGCUCCAAAAGUGCGAGAAGUGGAAGUUGAUCGACAAAGAGUCCCCACCAAAGAGAGGCUCACUGACAAACAUGGAUGAAGAUGAGGAUGAUGAUGGCCCAAGAAAUUUGCACAAGCCCGAUGGCGACAAGAAGACCAAGGAGAAGAUGAAGAGAGAGCAAGAAGCAUCGAGCUUGAGGGAGAAGAUUGAUGCCAUGGUGCAAUCAAACGAGUUGAUGUUGUUGAAGUCGUUGGAGAUCGAGAAAGAGUUGGCUGAGAAGAAGGCAAAGGAGAAGCAAGAAAAGUGGCAAUUGCUCAAAGAAGAGGGGCUGCGCAAAGCUGCCAUUGAGGAGAGAAGAGCACGCGCUACAGAAAACAAAGCCAUGUCCAAGCUGCUCGCCGAAGAGAACAAGAUCAUGUCAAUGAACCGCAAUGACAUGGACGAUCUCACCAGAACAUGGCAUGAUGUGGCAAGGAGAGAAAUAUUGAAGAGGAGAAUGGUUGCGUCGGCCGGUGCGUGCUACAGUUCCGGAGAUGUUUUCUCCGCUCCAUAUGGUGGCAAUGUUGAUGAUUUCGGUGCGGGAGUUGGAACAAGUGCCGGAGGUGGAUUCGGUGGUGGCGAUGAACUUCAAGAUGGACUCGAUGGCGCGGAGUAA
rnacentral:rRNA from 1 species